rnacentral:rRNA from 1 species
UAGGAAUCUUGCGCAAUGGACGAAAGUCUGACGCAGCGACGCCGCGUGGAGGAAGACGGCCCUAGGGUUGUAAACUCCUUUCAGUAGGGAAGAAAAUGACGGUACCUACGGAAGAAGCACCGGCCAACUAUGUGCCAGCAGCCGCGGUGAGACAUAGGGUGCGAGCGUUGUCCGGAAUUACUGGGCGUAAAGGGCCCGUAGGCGGUUUUUUAAGUCGGAAGUGAAAUCUCCAGGCUCAACCUGGAGCGGCCUUCCGAUACUAUUAAACUUGAGUUCGGUAGAGGAGAGUAGAAUUCUCAGUGUAGCGGUAAAAUGCGUAAAUAUUGGGAGGAAUACCAACAGCGAAGGCAGCUCUCUGGACCGAAACUGACGCUGAGGGGCGAAAGCGUGGGUAGCAAAC